rnacentral:lncRNA from 1 species
CGGGCGAUGGUAGCACAUGCCUUUAAGUCCCAGAACGAGAGAGAGAGAGAGAGAGUGAGAGAGAGAGAGAGAGAGAGAGAGAGAGAGAGAGAGAGAGAGAGAAACUGCCAGGAGAGGCAUCGGUGGGGGCAGAUGAGCCUCUUCAGAGAACGUCUCCAAAGUAAUCCUACAAACAGUGAAAAUAUGAGCUUUCUAUCUAAUCGUGCCUGUCUAGUAUUCUCCUCCUCCUCUGGAAUGCCAGGCAAGGACCUCUGGUUCAACCCAGAGAUUCAAUGCAAGCUCACCGCCUAGGGGAGAGAUUUCCUGAAACACUCGGACCGCCUCCUUUCUCUCCAGUGGGACCGCCUCCAGCCCAGCUCUUCCAACGAAGCCUUCAGCUUCCCCCUUCCUUCCCUUGGAAGCUCCUCUCUGCGCCCCGCCCCUACGUAGACCAGCGGCCACGUGUGUUUGACAGAUGCCAGCAUAAGACAAUAGAAAUGGGAGCGUGCGGGCACAUGGCUGAUUAAAAGCAAUCCAGGAGCUCAGAAACAGCUCGCUAUUGCUGGCAUAUACACUCUACAGUCUCGAUAUCCACAGGCCUCCCUACACCCGCACUGCUCUUUAGGCUAACUCCUUUCACAACUACAUGCAUAAAUAUACAUCGGCCCUAACCCUAACCCAAAAGUAAAGAAAAACCGUAUCUACAGAUGACUUCCUCAAGAGAAGCCUUUAUUCACAGUAACUAGUAACUCGACAAAAAUGCCCACCAACUGGGAAAUUGAGUAAACAAAUUGUGGUAUAUAAUCCAGUUCUACUCCACAACAAAAAGAAACCAAGGCAGAAUAAUAAC